UUUAUUUAAAGGGUGAAUAGAGAUUAUUCCCUCCAAUUAUUGUAGUUGGAAUUAUGGCCAAUUUAAACUUAAUUAUAACUAUUUUGAACAUUUUUUUUUUAUUUAAUUAUAGUAGUUGAAUUCAAAUAUAUCAAACGCAAAACACUAUGGGUGUGUUUGGUUCGCUUCUUUUUCACCAUAGAAUCGGAAUCGGAAUGGGUGAAUCCGUUUGUGGGUGUUUGGUACGCGGGAGUCCCAUUCCGAUUCCGAUUCCCGAGUGAAAUGGGAAUGCCCCAAUCACCCCUUUUUUCAAUCCGGCCUUCUAGGCCGGAUUGAAAGUUAAAUCCGGACGGAAUGAAUAUUUAUUCGGAUUAAAUUUAUUUUUUCAACUUUUUAAAUUAAAAUAUAAGUUAAAUUUUAAAAAUUAAAUAUAUAAUUUUAAAUUUUAAUUUGAACUUAAAUUAAAAAUUAAAAUUUAAUCAAGUAUUUUGAAUCUAACUUAUGAAUUUGAAUUUAAAUUAAAUUUUAAUUUGUAUGAAGUUUAUUCAAAUUUUAUUUCAAACUUAAAUUAAAUUUAUGGAUUCAAAUUAAAAUUUAAAUUGUAAUUUUAAAUUUGAAUUUGAAUAAAUAAAAUUUUAGUUUCAUAUUUUGAAUUAUCCACUCAACUUCAAAGAUUAAUUUAUUUUAAAAAAAUAGAUUUAAAAAUUUGAUAUUAUUUAAAAAUUUUGAUGUAAAUUUUUAAUAUUUAAUUUUUAAUUUGAAUUUAAAUUAAUAUAUUAUAAAGAUAAUGUUCGUAUAUUAAUUUGAUUACGUUUUUUAUAUCCACAUAAGCCAAACACCAACAAUAGGAAUGAUUUAUUCCGAUUCCGAUUCAGGUGAUGAACCAAACGGAAUUAGGUAAUGAGCCAUUCCGAUUCCGAUUCCAGCUUAUUUUGACUCCGAUUGCGAUUCCAACUCCGACUUCGAACCAAACACGCCCUAUAUUUGAAUCAACAUAUAGUUACAACU
rnacentral:lncRNA from 1 species